AUGAACGCUGGCGGCGUGCCUAAUACAUGCAAGUCGAGCGAACGGACGAGAAGCUUGCUUCUCUGAUGUUAGCGGCGGACGGGUGAGUAACACGUGGAUAACCUACCUAUAAGACUGGGAUAACUUCGGGAAUCCGGAGCUAAUACCGGAUAAUAUUUUGAACCGCCUGGUUCAAAAGUGAAAGACGGUCUUGCUGUCACUUAUAGAUGGAUCCGCGCUGCAUUAGCUAGUUGGUAAGGUAACGGCUUACCAAGGCAACGAUGCAUAGCCGACCUGAGAGGGUGAUCGGCCACACUGGAACUGAGACACGGUCCAGACUCCUACGGGAGGCAGCAGUAGGGAAUCUUCCGCAAUGGGCGAAAGCCUGACGGAGCAACGCCGCGUGAGUGAUGAAGGUCUUCGGAUCGUAAAACUCUGUUAUUAGGGAAGAACAUAUGUGUAAGUAACUGUGCACAUCUUGACGGUACCUAAUCAGAAAGCCACGGCUAACUACGUG
rnacentral:rRNA from 1 species